UUGGACAAUGGGCGAAGCCUGAUCCAGCAACGCCGCGUGAGGGAUGACGGCCUUCGGGUUGUAAACCUCUUUCGCCUGUGACGAAGCGCAAGUGACGGUAACAGGUAAAGAAGCACCGGCCAACUACGUGCCAGCAGCCGCGGUAAUACGUAGGGUGCGAGCGUUGUCCGGAAUUAUUGGGCGUAAAGGGCUCGUAGGCGGUUUGUCGCGUCGGGAGUGAAAACCAGGUGCUUAACACCUGGCUUGCUUUCGAUACGGGCAGACUAGAGGUAUUCAGGGGAGAACGGAAUUCCUGGUGUAGCGGUGAAAUGCGCAGAUAUCAGGAGGAACACCGGUGGCGAAGGCGGUUCUCUGGGAAUGACCUGACGCUGAGGAGCGAAAGUGUGGGGAGCGAACAGGAUUAGAUACCCUGGUAGUCCACACCGUAAACGUUGGGCGCUAGGUGUGGGGUCCAUUCCACGGAUUCCGUGCCGCAGCUAACGCAUUAAGCGCCCCGCCUGGGGAGUACGGCCGCAAGGCUA
rnacentral:rRNA from 1 species